rnacentral:tRNA from 1 species
ACUUGAAUAGUUUAAUAAAAAUAUUAAUUUGUGGAAUUAAAGAUAUAAAAUUUAUUUUAAGUA